CGUUACUAACGACGAUAUGCUUUGGGGAGCUGUAAGUAAGCUUUGAUCCAGAGAUUUCCGAAUGGGGGAACCCAGCACGAGUUAUGUCGUGUUAUCCGCAUAUGAAUUCAUAGUAUGUGAGAAGGUAAACCCGGAGAACUGAAACAUCUUAGUACCCGGAGGAAGAGAAAGAAAAAUCGAUUCCCUGAGUAGCGGCGAGCGAAACGGGAAGAGCCCAAACCAACAAGCUUGCUUGUUGGGGUUGUAGGACACUCU
rnacentral:rRNA from 1 species